rnacentral:lncRNA from 9 species
GAUUGCUUUCUUAAACUUGGGCUGCCAACUCAAAGAUUUCCCACUCAUCCACCAGGGAUAUCUGGCAAAAAAGCAUGGAAGACUCAUCAUAAAAUUAAAACUACUGCUGCUUGCCUGAGGAUGGAGGCGGGCUUUGAGAAGAAAGGAUCCUCAAGCUGGUACUUCUGGUACAGUUACCACCUGAGAUUUUACUUCUGAUUCUGCAGAUCUUCUGACGAAAUACUUAUCCACAGACAGAUGCUUCAGGAUAAAUAAAGCCUCUAUCUAUCACUUCAAAGAUUGUAUGGAAAGCUAUUUUGAAGAAAGUGACCAUCAUGGUAAUUCAGUAUUGCUUCUUAGUUUAAUGUCAAUAAAAUGCUUUAAUUUAAAAUGAUUUGGAAGAGGAACACACAUUUCAGAAGUCUAAACUCUUUGUCCAUCAGAAGAUGGGAUUUAAGAAACAGGAUCUGAAGUGGGCAGGGAAAGUAUUCCAGAAAGCAACUUUCUAAUAAAUUAGAACAUAAUGACUUGCAUGCUUGUAUAAAUUUUUGUUACAGGCAAUCUUCACAUAGCUGAAGCUACAUGCCUAAAAUAAUACUUUUUCUGAAAUCCAUGCUUUCUUGAAAGAAUUUCCAAAAUAAUAUAGCAGAAAAAGCAUGAAAUUAAAAGUUGCUUCCAAGCAAGACCACAGAGUUGGCAUCUGUUUCAGAGUCUGUUAGCAUCACAAUUGUGAAGCUACACAUAUACAAUAGUUAAUUACUGAUGGAAAUACCCAAUCAAUCAGCCAGCUGUUUUGAUUGCACUGAUUUGGGUCUCAUUUAAUUUAAGAGACUUAUGUCAACAGAUUGAAAGGUGAUUUUUGUGAGUGCCGAUGAUGUGUGUGUGUGUGUGUUUAACUGGGCAGGUAACUUAAGAGUGUCAUCACAGUCUGCGACUAAAUAAUUUGUUUCAAAAGUGAAAAAUUCAGACAUAUUUCUUCAGUUGUGUGUUUAAAAAUAACAACUCUGAUUGACUCAUGAUUCUCCUAGUAUUAUUAAAUAGUUGACCUAAUUAUUAUUUAGUUAUAUUGUCUAACACAGUUCAGGUGACUGGCCUGGGAGUUACAGUGCCUGUAUCUGCUAUCCCAGAUGAUACAGGAGUCACUGUCAUUACAAGACAGUUCCAC